rnacentral:rRNA from 1 species
GAUGAACGCUAGCUACAGGCUUAACACAUGCAAGUCGAGGGGUAACGAGAGGAAAGCUUGCUUUCCUUGUUGACGACCGGCGCCCGGGUGAGUUACGCGUAUCCAACCUGCCCCCAACUAGGGAAUAACCUUGCGAAAGUAAGACUAAUACCCUAUAAUUUCCUCAGAUGUCAUCUGACGAGGAAUAAGGAUUUGUCGGUUGUGGAUGGGGAUGCGUCGGAUUAGCUUGUUGGCGGGGUAACGGCCCACCAAGGCAACGAUCAGUAGGGGUUCUGAGAGGAAGGUCCCCCACAUUGGAACUGAGACACGGUCCAAACUCCUACGGGAGGCAGCAGUGAGGAAUAUUGGUCAAUGGGCGGAAGCCUGAACCAGCCAAGUAGCGUGCAGGAUGACGGCCCUAUGGGUUGUAAACUGCUUUUAUACAGGAAUAAAGUUAGCCACGUGUGGUUAUUUGUAGGUACUGUAUGAAUAAGGACCGGCUAAUUCCGUGCCAGCCGCCGCGGUAA